rnacentral:lncRNA from 1 species
UUGUGAGGAUUUAUUAUGUUCUUAGGCAUAAAUAAGGACUCAUUCGUUGAAAUUCGGGUGAUCCAAUUCGUCAAUAUUUUCCAAUUUAUUUAAUCAUUUAUAUUUUGCUUAUGAUUCGCUUGUCCUAAGACAAUUAUAUAAAAAGCUCACCAGUCACCACCGUGAGUUGAGAUUAGCGGGAGACAAGCGAGACACUUAUUAUGAUUAAAUGCACAUACAUGCCUUUCGUUUCACUUUUAAAAAUUGCGAGUGCUUAUUUGAAGUAUAAAGUAUAAACUACAACAACAACAAAAACUAAGCAUUAUUCUCAUUAAAUAUGAUUGACUGCACGUCAUCAUACUCAAUCAUAAAAAUAUAUUUAUUAAGAAAAUAUUAAUCUUUAAACAUUAGCAAUAAAAACUACUUGUGAAUUUAGCUAGUUUUUUUGAUAAGUAAGUUUUAUUAAAAAAAUAGAGGUAAGGAAAGUACAUCAAAUAUAAAUUAGUACAAUUGAGAGUGCAAGCUAAAUAACAACAGCAUAAUUAUAUAGACCCAACUCACUGUCACUAUAAAACCUUUCAAUGCAAUUCCUACUAAGGAUCCUACAACAUAUAAGUUCACCUAUAAACAAAAGGUUGUAUUAGUAUUCCAUUCGAACCAAGGCAUGGUUGUGUGUUUGAAUUUUUCUUUGAUCCAGGACAAUGACUUGAAGUUUUUCUCAUCUACAAUUCUCUUUGUUGUUGUGUCCUUGUGGUUGAAAAUUGUUGUAUUAUAUUCCUGCUUGUCCAAAUUUUUCAAAUUUAAGCCAUCCAUAUUACUAUAAAAAUGUUGCAGAAACUUUUGCCUUCAACUAAUAGGGAGUAUUAUACAUAUGUUCCUUUCCUAAUGAUGAUAAUAUUGAAUCAAUACCCAACCAUUAGUAAAGUCGUUGUCACACCACAUAAGAAAAACGAUAAGAGAAAAACAAAUGAUCCAUUGAUUCAUUCUCGGCAUGGCACUAGAUGCAUCUUAAAUCUUGCAUUUUCACACCCACCCCCUUUGUGCUAAAUUUACUUUACAAGGAAGUCUAUCCAAUAUACCUCUCUAGGCUAGCAUACAAGUCUUCAAUGUUGCCAUAACUUUCCAAAUCAAGUAAAGCAACUUUCUAUCUUCUGUUCCAUUUUCACCCUCUUGCCAAAUAACAUAAUAAGCUGAUUUGAUUGUAUAUUCAUUUGACAUGUUGUGAAUUCAACGCUACUAGUCUUUGGUUGCUUCCUUUGCAACUACAAGAUUAAUCACCCUCAUCAACUCAUCAAUUCUAAGUUACUUCCGGUCAAAAGGUUGUCUCCUCCAACUUAAUUUCCAUUUCCG